UAAAGGUGAAUAUUUAUAUGAUCUCAAGAUGAGGAAGCAUAAAAGCAAAAGAAGUUGUAAAUCAGCUUAAGAGCUCUUCAGCUGCCUUCUGAAAUCUUCAGAGCUGCCCACCAAAGAGGGUGUGGAAGGAGUGAUACUCUGUACUGUGAGGCCCAUUGACUGAAGAGUUACAUCAUCACAUCACCACAUGCUUGGGCCCCCAAUGUACAGCCAACGGAUGCCUGGGGUGGUAGAAGGCUGUUUAUGUAGUUGAAAUUCCAUUGGAACCCUCUAAGGAAUGGAGUGGGACCAAGAAAUGCAAAACUCUAUCAGGAAAUAUUGCCAGCUGAAGCUAUCAGAUAAAAGACCCAAAAAUGUGGUUUGUCACAAGAGAAGUUUACAUGAUUAGACUUGGUUCAGGACAGUUAUUUAUGAAAAUAGUUUCUGUGACGCCCGAAGACUUCUUAAUGACCCGCUUUGUAACUCCGCCGGGCUGCGUCAAUGGCAGUGAAAGUAACGUGACUGCGGAGCGCGGGGUUGGCCCGGGAGGGGCGCGGGCCUGGCCAGUGGGAAUAUCGGACGCG